rnacentral:sRNA from 1 species
CUGGAUGUUGACUAGCUGUGAAUCUCCGUGUUAAUUACUGACUACCAGAAUAUGUUUCUGCGAUAAGGGUUCAAAGAUGUGCUAAUCUAUGCUAUUAGGAAUCAUUUUAAUACUAUGUCUUGUUAGCAGAACAGUGGUAGGUUCUCCCCUAGGGCCUAUGACCUUUGUAACUAUAGGAUCUUCACAUUUUUAUAAUUCGCCAUUUUUACAUCUGCUUUGCCAUAGGAAAAAAUAAUCAUGUUAGUACAUAUGAAAAAUGGCAACAGUGUGUGACGUUUCCUGUACACGUGUGUGUGUUGUGUGUGUGUGUGUGUGUGUGUGUGUGUGUGUGUGUGUAAAACUGUGGGCUUUCCCAUCCAUGCAUAAGUUUCCCCGAAAUGAUUCUGAGACUUAAGUAUAGUUGUGAAUAAAUGCCUAGGCCUUCAGCUUGGGCCAGUUCUCUCUCUAACUAGCUCAUAACUUAGUUAUCGGUUUAUUCUAUUCUAAGUCCUGCCACGUGCAUGGCAGGUUAAAUGAUCCUCAGUUUCACAUAACCUUUUUCCCCUGUGUCCCCGUGAAUCUCCCAGCAUUCCUCACUCCCGGAAGUCCCACCUUCUAAUCCUACCUCAGCUCUCCGGCCAACCAGCUUUGAUUAACAGGGGAAAGCUUUUACACAGUGCACAAGGGAUUAUCUCUACCUGCACAAUAACUGACUAGACAGGAGCUCUACUUCUCAACUAUCUCCCUGGCUCUUUCGGGCACUGCUUUAAUUUUCUUGCUGUUUCUCCUUUAGAAGAAGACUGACUCAGAUUAAGAACACCGGAUGAAGUGAUGAUGAUGAUGACGACGACGACGACGACGAUGAUGAUGUUAGAAGACAUAUUAAUUAAGAAUACAGAGCACUCUUCCAGAGGACUAAGAGAAAGACAAUUCUGAGCUACAAGCACGCGAUUCCAUGUCACCCAGUCAAUCACCACGGAAACCUUAUGAGGGCAGUGCUGUCAGCAUUAAGUAUUUCCCAGGUGAGGAAACUAAGGUGCAGAGAAAGCAAGCAAUGUCCAAGCCACACACAGCCAAGAAUUCGUAGUCAGGGAAGUCGCACUGUGCAGUCCCGCCCCUGAGAACUGUGGAGCUGGGCUGAACAAGGUGGACCAGCAGUGUGAGUGCUGUGCUUGAGAUUCCUAGGGUGGGUUCUUCUGCUGAGUCGCUCCACCCACGCUUCUCCAGAGUGCACCACCCACCUGUCACUCACUCUCUUCUGCCCUAUAAGCAUCUCACAGAAAGCCCCACCUACUACUAUGUAGAAAGACGCCAUAUUACAUACCUCAGCCUCCCUGAUACUGAGGCUUACUCGCUGGGUAAAAUCAGGUGCAUUCCUCAACUGCUGUGUGGUUCGGUCUCCAUUUUUAGAAAAGGAUGCUAGAAAUGUCUAGCUCACAUGGUUACUUCCAAGAUGAAUCAGAGGACCAGGAUAGUGCCCGGCACAUACUGCUCUUUCAGGAAACAUUAGUUGCUCCAGCACAGAAAGACAAAUCCCAUGUGGUCUCCCUUAUGUGUGGAAGCUACAAUCUUACCAAAGUGUGAAAAUGAUGGGAGGAGGGAGAAGUUGAGGGGUGCACAGUGUUGCUGUAAGGAGGAACAAUGUCUAAUGCCCCAGAGCAUAGUGGGAUAGCCAUGGUUGGCAACUACUUUAUAUUCUUCCGUAGCUAGCAUAUAGGAUGCUGGAUGGCCUCGGUAGAAAAAAAUAAUGUCUGAGGCAAUGGCUAUGCCAAUCACCCUAAUCUGCUGAUUAAAUAUUAAAUACAAGAUACUGAAAUGCCACACUCUAUCUCAUAAAUACGGAUAAUUACUGUGUCAACUAAAUGCAAAAGUGCAUUUUAAGACAACUAUUAUUAAUAGUUCUAUAUAAUAUUCUUCUUCCUGUUAUUUGGUACUUCAGCACACACACCAAGAAAACAACUGACAUAGAAUAAAUCUGUCAUCUGGACACUCAAUGAAGCACAUUUUAACCCCUUCCACUCAACAAGUAUUCACUGAGCACUAUCUUUGUGCAAGGCAGUAGGAAGCAGUUUGAAAAGGUUGCAGACCCAGGCUUGUCUACAGUACAACCGGGCAGGGAGAAGCAGAUGGCGAAGAGCCCCAGAGGACAGGCAUCUGUUGGCACUGGAGUCUAAGGAUGAUGUCAAGGGGAGGCAGGGUCCCAGCUGGGAUCUUGGGGAAAGCAGGAACAAGCAGAGUAAGCCAGUGUUGUAAGCAGAUAAAGGAUCCUGUGCAAAGCCUUCUGGGAGUUAGCGAGUGAGGCAUGCUUGUAAAUAAACUGAAAUGAAAUGCAAAGGGGGCAGGGACUGGGAGAGCUUGGUGAAGCCUCUGAGCCCUGGUUCCAGCACCCAUGUGGGCAGCUCACAACUGCCUGGGACUCUAACACCAGGGCAUCUGAUGACCUCCUUAGAACUGAGGGCAAGCGCAUGUGCACAAACCCACACAGAGGCACACAUGGUUAAAGAUUAAUGACACACAUUAAAACCGGAAUCAUACGUGGGCUGUGCAAAGAGUGUCUGCUCAGAAAUACUACCUCCAUUCACACCAGGCUGUAAGGGGAGUCUGAGGUUCUCACCCCGAGGUCAGUGAAGGGGUCAGUGAGCAAGCCUUACAGACUCAGUGUUUCCUACCUGUGGUAGUGGACACCAUUAGGGAGACAGAGACAUGGAUCUGGAGCUGACCACAGUGAAGCUGUGGUUGAUGAGUGCCCACCCUCGAGAAAGGACAAUGAAGCAAGCAGGGGGGAUGAAGUUGAGAUUCAGCCUGAGAGUCCCCAGGCUGGAGGUAUGCAGGCCUGGGAGGUUUCAAGCAAGGCUCCCUACUGGUCUCUACCUUGGACCACUAGACGUAGGGGUGGGGAGUCUUGAUGUUUUUCUCUCAGUCAGAGCCCUGGGGCAAUUGUGUGUGUGUGUGUGUGUGU